AAGAACCUUCCCCAGUCUUGACAUCCUUUGACCACUCUAGAGAUAGAGCUUUUCCUUCGGGGACAAAGUGACAGGUGGUGCAUGGUUGUCGUCAGCUCGUGUCGUGAGAUGUUGGGUUAAGUCCCGCAACGAGCGCAACCCUUAUUACUAGUUGCCAGCAUUGAGUUGGGCACUCUAGUGAGACUGCCGGUGACAAACCGGAGGAAGGUGGGGAUGACGUCAAAUCAUCAUGCCCCUUAUGACUUGGGCUACACACGUGCUACAAUGGAUGGUACAACGAGCAGCGAACUCGCGAGGGUAAGCGAAUCUCUUAAAGCCAUUCUCAGUUCGGAUUGUAGGCUGCAACUCGCCUACAUGAAGCCGGAAUCGCUAGUAAUCGCGGAUCAGCACGCCGCGGUGAAUACGUUCCCGGGUCUUGUACACACCGCCCGUCACACCACGAGAGUUUGUAACACCCAAAGUCGGUGAGGUAGCCUUUUGGAGCCAGCCGCCUAAGGUGGGAUAGAUGAUUGGGGUGAAGUCGUAACAAGGUAACCA
rnacentral:rRNA from 1 species